AUCCAGGGAUCCCGUUCCCUUCCCACCUCCCCAAUCACAACUUGGGCUCUAGAGGGCUGGGGGGCCCAGGGUUGGGGGCUGAGUUCCUGAGGCUCCCCAUGUUAUCCUCACCCCAGCUGUCACCCCUCAGUGACUCAGGGGGAACAGCCUCUCACUCUGGGCAUUGUGGUGCUGCGGAGAGAGCACUGGUCUUGGGAGUCGGUAGGUGUGAGUUCAUCCCCAGUUCUGCCAUUUAUCAAGACUGAUCUCGGGUCUUGCUGGCCCCAGUGGCAUCCCAGCAUCAUGGCUUCUUCUCUGAACAUGGGCUCGUCCUUCCACUCUUUUCCAAACCUGAUUUGUUUCAAGAGGACCCUGAACUUGGAAGACCUUUUGGGUACCAAAGCCUGCUUGACACUGUAGGCGAGAGGCCAGUCACAUUGAAUCAUUAAUUAGCUCCCCCAUUUCUUCCUUGGCUCUUCUUCCUCUUUCCCUUUUCCCUUCUGCCACCACAAGCUCUAGAGAACACAGGGCCAUCUUGUAAAGCUUGGACAUUAGGGGAAAGAUCAUCCUGAGAAAGGUGCAUGAUAAUGAAGAGUGUCCAGCCAACCACAGGGCUUCCAGCUUGCUAAUCUAUCCUACCCAAGGUUAGCUUGGUCUAGUGACUUGGGUGUUGACCUCAGAGCCAUGAAGACUUGGACGGAGGGGUUGGCUGGGUGGCUCAGUGGAUAAAGAGCCAGACCUGGAGACAGGAGGUGUUCUGGAUUCAAAUCUGACCUCAAAUACUUCCUAGCUGUGUGGCCAUGGUCAAGUCACUUAACCCAAUGGCCUAGCCCUUACAGCUCCUCUGCCUUGGAACUAAGUGGAGAUUCUAAGACAGAAGGCCACAGUUUUCACUGAAUUCAAAGAAAAGAUUCAGCCUGAGGGCAUUAGCUAGCAGGAGACCUUUGUUCUAAUAAGCUUGGUGCCUAAGGCUGAGAAUCUUCCCUAACUCAAAGGAGAGGCUUCUUAGCCAAAACUGGAGGCAACCAGAUUGCAGAAAUCUAAGGGAGAUGUUUUCCUAGUCUGAAGGAAUUAUACCAAGGUUACAGGUAUCUUUUUUGUUCAGUUGUUUCUGUCAUGUUCGACUCUUCAUGGCCCCAUUUGGGGUUUUCUUGGCAAAGAUUCUAAAAUGGUUUGACAUUCCCUUCUCCAGAUCAUUUGACAGAUGAGGAAACUGAGAUCAACAAGGUUAAGUGACUUGUCCAAGGUCACACAGCAAAGAUUCUAAAGUGGUUUGUCAUUUUCCUUCUCCAGCUCAUUUGACAGAUGAGGAAACUGAGGCAAAAUGACUAAGGUAAGAUUUGCACUCAGGUCUUCCUGACUCCCUCCAGGCCAGACAUUCUAUCUACUGCUUCACUUAAUGAUGUUAUUAGAAAACACAUUUAAAGGCUUCCACACUUGGCAGAAAAAAAUCAGUCAUUAACAUAGCCCAAUCAAAAAGUCUGAAAACACUGCAAAGGAAUAAGAUAGGGACUGGUGUCAUUCUGUAUCAGUUUGUGUGGAUUUUUUCAUGAUAUUCUACCUAGAUUAUAUUCAUCAUUUCUUGUCUUUUCUUUUCUUUUCCUUUCUUAAUAAACCCUUACCUUCCAUCUUGGAAUCAAUACUGUAUAUUGGUUUCAAGGCAGAUGAUUGGUGAUGUCUGGGCAAAGAGGAUUAAAUGACUUGCCCAGGGUCACACAGCUAGGAAGUUUCAAUAUUUCUUGAAGCACAGUAAUAUUCCACUGCAUUCAUGUAUCUCGGUUUUGCCACUCCUCAAACAAUGGGCACCUAUUUAAAAUGUCCAAUUCUUUGCCACCACAAAAAAGCACUGCUAUACAUAUUCUGGCAUAUACAGGGAUUUUCUUCUUUAUCAAUGACUUCCUUUGGGCUUUGAGUUAAUUAACAGACUCACCUGGUUAAAGGAUGUGGGCAUUUAGUUGCUUUACUUGCAGAAUUUUCCAAAGUGACUAUAUUUGCCUCUAUCUUUUGUUUAGUUAAAAAUAUAUCUCUUACCCAUAGCUGUGAAAGGUAUAUAAUUUGCUUCUCUUCUCAUUUGUUAUGGCUUGAUUUGUAAUAUUAAGAUCCUAUAUCCAUUUGGAAUGUAUUGUGGAACAUGAUGUAAGGUGUUAGUCUAAGCAUAAUUUCUGCCAGACUGCUUUCCAGUUUUCCCAGCAGCUUUUAAUCAGAUAGGAAAUUCUUUCCUAAAUAAUUCAUGCUUCUAGUUUAUCAAACACUGGGUUAUUGAGUUCUAUUCUUUCUGAUUUACCCUCAUCUGGUCUAUUCCAUUGAUUUACCUCUCUAUUUUUUAACCAAUACCAAAUGGUUUGAAUGGCUGCUGCUUUAUAAUAUAAUCUGAUGUCUGGAAAUGAUAUUCUAUAUUUAUCUUUACCCCUUUUCAUUAUUACCCUUGAUAUUUUGGACUUUUGGUAUCCCAGAUGAAUUUUGUUAUUUAUCUUAUCUAAUUCAAUAAAGUAUCAUCAGUAGUAGGAGCAGCUAGAUGGCACAGUGAAUAGAGCGCUGAGCCUGAAGUCCCUUCCAGCUCGAAAUCGAUGAUACCCUCAAUCCCAAAUUGAUGUCUUCUGCUCCCAAUAUACUCUAAACCUACCUCAAGCUCCAAGUCCCAGAGAAACAAGCAGAAUGGAAAACAUAAUUUUCCUGAGUUCAAAUCUAGUGUCAUAUAUUUACUAGCUGUGUAACCCUGGACAAGUCACUUAACUGGCCUCAGUUUCCUCAUCUGUAAAAUUCUCUAGAAAUGGAAAUGGCAGACCAUUCCAAUAUCUUUGCCAAGAAAACCCCAAAUGGAGUAAUGAAGAGUUAGACACAACUGAAAUGACUGUACAACAAAAAUCAGUAGCAUUGUCAUUUUUAUUAUAUUGGCACUGCCUAGGCAUGAGCACUGACUAUUCUUCUAGCCACUUAAGCUGUUCUUUAAUUCUUUAAGAAGCACUUUUUCAUUGACUAUAUGGGUAUUUUGUGUGCUUUAAUAAAUUGAGUCCCAAGUAUUUUAUGUAUUUUAUACUUAUUUUGAAUGGGAUUUCUCCUUCCAUUAUCAUCUCAAAUUCAAUUUAAUUCUUUAUUAUCUACCUUGUUACUCUCUAUCUUUUUGCCUUAGUAUAAUGUCACAUGUUCAAAAAAUAGGUAAAUCAGAAAGAUAUUCAGUGAAAUAUGGAGGAUAACAAGGAGGGCUCUCAAAUAAACCCAAAUAGUUUCAGGGGCCCUGAAUUUAACAAUGGGGUACUACAAAUUUACAUAUAUUCACAACAGGACAGCUGGGAAAUGGGAGUUCUGUGCUAAGUGCUAUAGGCUGAAGUAGGAGCCUAAAAAAAUGGACCUACUUGUUUGAUGACACAUGUAAAACCCAGUGGAAUUGUGUGUCACCUACAGGAGUGGGGU